AGUGAACGCUGGCGGUGCGCCUAAGACAUGCAAGUCGAGUGGGUUUAGACCCACGGCGAACGGCUGCGUAACACAUGGGUACCUACCCCCGAACUCAGGAAUAACCUCCCGAAAGGGAGGCUAAUGCCGGAUAGUCCCGCAAGGGUAAAGCUUUUGCGGUUCGGGAGGGGCCUGUGGCCUAUCAGUUAGUUGGUGAGGUAACGGCUCACCAAGACAAUGACGGGUAGCUGGUCUGAGAGGACGACCAGCCAGAAUGGAACUGAGACACGGUCCAUACUCCUACGGGAGGCAGCAGUAAGGAAUAUUGGUCAAUGGACGCAAGUCUGAACCAGCCAUGCCGCGUGAGUGAUGAAGGCCUUAGGUUGUAAAGCUCUUUUACCCGGGAUGAUAAUGACAGUACCGGGAGAAUAAGCCCCGGCUAACUCCGUGCCAGCAGCCGCGGUAAU
rnacentral:rRNA from 1 species